ensembl:lncRNA
GUGAGCCGUUUCUCUAUGCCUCCUCCCCGUACGUCUUCUUUUCCUCGUCAAAGUGAGGGCGGUGGCAGGGCACUGCUGUGACGUAGGCACAUCUGGAGCGGUCAUUACACUCGCAGACGUGAGAUUAGAUAAGGCUGGACGAUGAGGUUAGCGCUUCUCCGGUCAGAUAAUUGUCAGAAUGACUACCAGGUUGUAGGUAGGUGUUAAAAUGGACUCCAAGGUCCUAGAGGGUGCUGGUUAAAAAAAGAGGGUCUCAAAGAUUUGGGGGGGGGGGAACGGACGGACGGACGACAACAACAACAAAAAAACACAUUUCCUGGUUGUUUUUUGAUCUAUCCCCUUCACUUUAGCCAUUCUGUAUUCAUCUGUAUUCACUUUAAGAAUAAUACCGCUUUAAUAUUGGUUUGUGGCUACGAGACAAGAAAAUCAAUCACACAAAUCAUGCUAGCUGCACAGAUCUAACUGCACUGGAAUUCAUCCCCAUUAGACAAUUCUUCCCUAGAAUCCACAGGCUGAAAUUCCACAGACCUGAAGCGGACGGAGGUUUAAUCCGCGCCUGAGUGACGACUGGAUAAAAAGAAUCCAAUUAUCUUUUUCACAGAGCAUCCCCCGGUCUUGUCUUUGGCAUCGCUUAUAUGGAGGAAACAUCAACGUCAAACGGACAUGGAGUUCGUCAAAAUCAGCUCGUACGUAUUCCGCUCGGGAGACGCGCCGUAAAGCGGCUCGGGGAUUUGUGACAUAUUUUAAACGUAGGGAGGGUGUUUAAGUUUGGACAAUCAAACAUAAUUCCUCUAGUCUUGGCUGUAAAUUACACUAAACUUGUUAUUUACGUACGAUUUCCACCUAGAUGCAGUUUGGCUUGGAACACGUCACUCUUCCUCUUUCAGUAAUUCAAUUCGAUGAAACUUUUACUACCAUGGAAUAUACCACACACUAGGGUUACUGCAUCUGAUGGAGAGACACAGAGAGCUAGCCGAGCCGUUCCAACCGUCUUUGAAGCACCGCGCCGGUCACGUGGUAAAAUGUCCGACAGAAUCACGGUCAGUGGAAGAACGACACUUGUGCUGACUAGCAUCUGGGUGAGUUCUCAUGGAGGAAAUACUGUAUACCGGGCCAGAAAACUUCAAACAAACGCUAAAGACCUACCUCUUCAUUGAGUACUUGAUACUUAUAUUUAGAAAAUAAUAACCCCUUAUCAUGUGUGUUUUCAUUCGUAUUCACACUUUGCGGUUGUGGUAGAGAGGGUCGUCCACUAAUCGUAGGGUCGGCGGUUCGAUUCCCGGCCCGCGUGACUCCACAUACCGAAGUGUCCUUGGGUAAGACACCGAACCCCGAGUUGCUCCCGAUGGUAAGUUAGCGCCUUGCAGCUCUGCAGCCAUUGGUGUGUGUGUGUGUGUGUGUGUGUGAAUGGGCGAAUGAGAAAAAGAGCUAUAUAAGUGCAGACCAUUUACCAUAUUGAUUCACCUCCUCUAAUAGGGUUCUAGCUUGAUGUUAUUCUUAGUCCCUGGCCUAGUGAACUAGCAUGGGGACAUGUUUUUGUUUUUUUUUUUUAAAUGCAGACUAUAAAGUACUUACAAGUUUCUCCGGAUUGCUAAAUGCUCUAAAUGUCAAAUCGAACUUGCCAAUCGAGAUGUGCGUCUGUUCUUCAGCGGCGAUUAUUCAAUUUUCGUUCGUGUUCCUCAGAGUUUUAUUCCCAGACAGCAUGCUUUUUUUCAAGUCUAACCGUUAAUGGUAGAAUUUUCUUCUUGGCUGUUCAUGUGAAUAUUUUCCACCCGGUGGUUCUUUUCUAAUGAUGUCACUUUCAUGCCCACUCCUACACACACACACACACACACACAAAAACACACACACACAUGCGUUCGUCUAUCUUUGUGAGGAUCUUCUACUGACAUAAUGAUUACUGCAGUAGUCACCCCUAACCUUAAAUCUUUUGGCUUAAAUACAUUUUCCUGAGGACCAGUUAUGUCCUUAAUGCACUUUGUGCUUGUCACCAUGAAAAGUGUAAAGUUUUGUAGUAUAUUGUAAAGUUGUAACGUUUUGCAGUAUGUUGUCAGUUUUGUAGUAUGUUGUAAAGGUUUAAUUGUUGUAGCAUGUUGUAAAGUUUUAUAGUAUGUUAUAAGGUUUUGUAGUACGUUGUAAGGUUUUCUCGUAUGUUGUAAAGUUUCGCAGUAUGUUGUAAAGUUGUAACAUUUUGUAACAUGAUGUAAAAUUUUGUAGUAUGUUGUAAGGCUGUACAGUUUUGCAGUAUUAUGUAACAUACUGUAGUAUGUUGUAAAGAUUUGUAGUAUGGUGUAAAGUUGUGUAGUAUGUUGUAAAGAUUUGUAGUAUGGUGUAAAGUUGUGUAGUAUGUUG